UACGUAGGGUGCAAGCGUUGUUCGGAAUCAUUGGGCGUAAAGCGCGUGUAGGCGGUUUGUUAAGUCUGAUGUGAAAGCCCAGGGCUCAACCCUGGAUGUGCAUUGGAUACUGGCAAACUAGAGGACGGGAGAGGAAAGUGGAAUUCCUGGUGUAGGGGUGAAAUCCGUAGAUAUCAGGAGGAACAUCAGAAGCGAAGGCGACUUUCUGGCCCGUAACUGACGCUGAGACGCGAAAGCGUGGGGAGCAAACAGG
rnacentral:rRNA from 1 species